rnacentral:pre_miRNA from 1 species
AAUGUACUCCCUCCGUUCGGAAUUACUUGUCACAAAAAUAAAUGUAUUCAGAUGUAUUUUAGUUCUAGAUACAUCCAUUUCCGAGACAAGUAAUUCCGAACGGAGGGAGUAUCAC